CACCAUCUCUGUAGCGCAUGCUAGAAAUCUCAUCUCUCUGCUUUGCUAUAGAAUAGCAAUCCUCUCCGUGCUGCUACAGGUAGAGUUUUUGAUCAACAAAACACCAAGCAACAUUGAUCUACUAACAAAAACCACCAGAUGGAUAAAAACACCACUUCCAACUCCAAAGCAAAAAAAGCAAGAGCAUUAUGGGGAAAUCCAAGUUAGACAACUACUUUUUGUAACCUUUGUGUGGAAGAGAUUGAAGCCAGGAAUAGAACAAUCUUUGUUGCCUUUAGUCCCAAAGGUUGGAGCAAUUUGGUGAUCAAAUUUUGUGAUGAGACCGGUCUAAACUAUGAUAAGGACCAAUUAAAAAGUAGGCGGGAUGCAUUAAAAACAGAUUGGAGAGUGUGGGAAAAAUUGAAGGGUCUUGGCACAGGUUUAGGUUGGGAUGCAAUGAAGGGAACGAUUGAUGCUAGUGAUGAUUGAUGGGACAUGAAGUUGAAGGAAGUACCCAAAACUUCAAAAUUUCGACAUAAAGGUCUGCAGAAUCUACAACAACUUGAUAGAAUGUUCAGGGAUGUUGCAGCAACUGGAGUAGAACUCAAGAUCUUUAACAGACCCUGAUAUGGUGGUUUUUCAUGAUUCCAUUGCUAAUUCCAUUUGGGGGAUAAUAAUUAGUAGUUGUCUUCUUCUUUUUUUAAAUUUUAAC